AAAUGUGGGCAUGUUAUUACAGGGAAAGU
rnacentral:piRNA from 1 species